GCCAGUGAUGAUGAGUUUUUUUUGGUUCACUGAGAUGCAAAAAUGUUGCAUUGGUGUUGAAGCUUUUUUGAACUAGGACGGUCUGAGGC